GGCUCCAGUCUUAACUACAGGC
rnacentral:miRNA from 1 species